AUACACAGCCACAUCACCCUGCAGCCCAAGGUUAAUCAUUGAAGCUAAGCAGGGCUGAGCCUGGUCAGUACCCAGAUGGGAGACCACAUGGGUUAACUAGGUUGCUGUUGGAA
rnacentral:rRNA from 1 species